rnacentral:misc_RNA from 1 species
GGAAGGAUCAUUAAAGAUUGACCGAAAGGUCUUAUCUCUAUAUCCCUCACCUCUGUGAACUGUGGACCUCCGGGUCUAUUUAACAAACAUCAGUGUAAUGAACGUAUAUAUCAUUAAACAAAACAAAACUUUCAACAACGGAUCUCUUGGCUCUCGCAUCGAUGAAGAACGCAGCGAAAUGCGAUAAGUAAUGUGAAUUGCAGAAUUCAGUGAAUCAUCGAAUCUUUGAACGCACCUUGCGCCUUUUGGUAUUCCGAAAGGCAUGCCUGUUUGAGUGUCAUGAAAUCUCAAUCCCCCUGGGUUUAUGAUCUGGGUCGGACUUGGAUAUGGGCGUCUGCCGGUCACACGGCUCGCCUCAAAUGACUUAGUGGAUCUCUCUGCAUCCGUGACAGACGUAAUAAGUUUCGUCUUGUCCCUUGCUUAUGAGUCUGCUCAUAACCUGCCAUCGCGCACUUUUAGACUCUGACCUCAAAUCAGGUAGGACUACCCGCUGAACUUAAGCAUAUCAAUAAGCGGAGGAAAAGAAACUAACAAGGAUUCCCCUAGUAACGGCGAGUGAACCGGGAAGAGCUCAAAUUUGAAAUCUGGCGUCCUCAGGGCGUCCGAGUUGUAAUCUAUAGAGGCGUUUUCCGUGCCGGACCGUGUCCAAGUUCCUUGGAACAGGAUAUCAAAGAGGGUGACAAUCCCGUACUUGACACGACGACCGGUGCUCUGUGAUACGUCUUCUACGAGUCGAGUUGUUUGGGAAUGCAGCUCAAAAUGGGUGGUGAGUUCCAUCUAAAGCUAAAUAUUGGCGAGAGACCGAUAGCGAACAAGUACCGUGAGGGAAAGAUGAAAAGCACUUUGGAAAGAGAGUUAAACAGUACGUGAAAUUGUUGAAAGGGAAACGAUUGAAGUCAGUCGUGACCGAGAGGCUCAGCCGGUUCUGCCGGUGUAUUCCCCUCGGUCGGGUCAACAUCAGUUUUGUCCGGUGGAUAAGGGCGGUAGGAAGGUGGCACCCUCGGGUGUGUUAUAGCCUGCCGUCGCAUACAUCGGGUGAGACUGAGGAACGCAGCUCGCCUUUAUGGCCGGGGUUCGCCCACGUCCGAGCUUAGGAUGUUGACAUAAUGGCUUUAAACGACCCGUCUUGAAACACGGACCAAGGAGUCUAACAUAUCUGCGAGUGUUUGGGUGUCAAACCCGAGCGCGUAAUGAAAGUGAACGUAGGAGGGAUCCGCAAGGAGCACCUUCGACCGAUCUGGAUCUUCUGUGAUGGAUUUGAGUAAGAGCAUAUAUGCUGGGACCCGAAAGAUGGUGAACUAUGCCUGAAUAGGGCGAAGCCAGGGGAAACUCUGGUGGAGGCUCGUAGCGAUUCUGACGUGCAAAUCGAUCGUCAAAUUUGGGUAUAGGGGCGAAAGACUAAUCGAACCAUCUAGUAGCUGGUUCCUGC